rnacentral:miRNA from 1 species
UGUCUAAAGCCAUACCACCCUGAACGCACCCCAUCUCAUCUGAUCUCAGAAGCUAAGCAGGGUCGGGCCUGGUUAGUACUUGGAUGUG